rnacentral:rRNA from 1 species
GGAGUUUGAUCAUGGCUCAGGAUGAACGCUGGCGGCGUGCUUAACACAUGCAAGUCGAACGAACCUUCGGGUUAGUGGCGGACGGGUGAGUAACGCGUGAGAAUCUGCCCUCAGGAGGGGGAUAACAGCUGGAAACGGCUGCUAAUACCCCAUAUGCCGCGAGGUGAAAUGAAUUUCGCCUGAGGAUGAGCUCGCGUCUGAUUAGCUAGUUGGUGUAGGUAACGGCUCACCAAGGCAUCGAUCAGUAGCUGGUCUGAGAGGAUGAUCAGCCACACUGGGACUGAGACACGGCCCAGACUCCUACGGGAGGCAGCAGUGGGGAAUUUUCCGCAAUGGGCGAAAGCCUGACGGAGCAACGCCGCGUGAGGGAUGAAGGCCUCUGGGCUGUAAACCUCUUUUAUCAAGGAAGAAGAUCUGACGGUACUUGAUGAAUAAGCCACGGCUAAUUCCGUGCCAGCAGCCGCGGUAAUACGGGAGUGGCAAGCGUUAUCCGGAAUUAUUGGGCGUAAAGCGUCCGCAGGCGGCCCUUCAAGUCUGCUGUUAAAAAGUGGAGCUUAACUCCAUCAUGGCAGUGGAAACCGAGGGGCUUGAGUGUGGUAGGGGCAGAGGGAAUUCCCGGUGUAGCGGUGAAAUGCGUAGAUAUCGGGAAGAACACCAGUGGCGAAGGCGCUCUGCUGGGCCAUCACUGACGCUCAUGGACGAAAGCCAGGGGAGCGAAAGGGAUUAGAUACCCCUGUAGUCCUGGCCGUAAACGAUGAACACUAGGUGUCGGGGGAAUCGACCCCCUCGGUGUCGUAGCCAACGCGUUAAGUGUUCCGCCUGGGGAGUACGCACGCAAGUGUGAAACUCAAAGGAAUUGACGGGGGCCCGCACAAGCGGUGGAGUAUGUGGUUUAAUUCGAUGCAACGCGAAGAACCUUACCAGGGUUUGACAUCCUGCGAAUCUUUUGGAAACGAGAGAGUGCCUUCGGGAGCGCAGUGACAGGUGGUGCAUGGCUGUCGUCAGCUCGUGUCGUGAGAUGUUGGGUUAAGUCCCGCAACGAGCGCAACCCACGUCUUUAGUUGCCAGCAUUUAGUUGGGCACUCUAGAGAGACCGCCGGUGAUAAACCGGAGGAAGGUGUGGAUGACGUCAAGUCAUCAUGCCCCCUUACAUCCUGGGCUACACACGUACUACAAUGCUACGGACAAAGGGCAGCAAGUUCGCGAGGACAAGCAAAUCCCAUAAACCGUGGCUCAGUUCAGAUCGUAGGCUGCAACUCGCCUACGUGAAGUAGGAAUCGCUAGUAAUCGCAGGUCAGCAUACUGCGGUGAAUACGUUCCCGGGCCUUGUACACACCGCCCGUCACACCAUGGAAGUUGGCCACGCCCGAAGCCGUUACUCCAACCCUUGUGGAGGAGGACGUCGAAGGUGGGGCUGAUGACUGGGGUGAAGUCGUAACAAGGUAACC